rnacentral:lncRNA from 10 species
GUCCAAACACAAAGGCCUCCCGACCUUAGAGUUCUGCGUCUGGAUGUUUUUGGCUACAAAACCAGAAAACUCCUUCUCAACUGGCUUAAACAGGAAAAUGAGGUCACUUCUGACCCAGAGACUCUGUCAUCUUACCCUCUCCUGGGGGUCUUCAUCUAAAGAACUGCCACUGGGAUCAUACAGUGUGCUCUCAUCUGGAACUUCCCACAUCUCCACGUGCCCUCACCUUCAGUGAGAGUCUGAGAAGAAGCCGGGUGGGGUUGCUGCCCACAUGGUCGGGGCUGCUGCCAAUGCCACUCAUCUCACCGUCACUUGCUGCCUCUCUGCCUGCCCCCUGGUCCAUGGUUCUCUGACAUCUCUCUCUCCUUGAGGACUGUCCACUGAGAGGUCUGGAAACAAUGACACUCCAGGAACAAUGACACUCCAGAAACAAUGACACUCCAGGAACAAUGACACUCCAGAAACAAUGACACUCCAGGAACAAUGAGCACAUCUAGCACCCAGAUCUUGGCUUCUACACAUCAUUCUCUAUUAAAAGAAAGAAGCAUCCCUUGGAGCAAUGGCUGAUUCCAGAGCUGUGGCAGAGAAAUUACAAGAUAAGCCUGGAACAUCUUGCUGUGACAGAAAGUAAGCAAGUGCUCAAAGAAUUAUGGCAAUAGAAACCAGCUUGGCAACUGGACAAAAUCUGGGAAAUUGAGCAUCAAAAUAAAUAAUGAGGUAAUGAGGAAAACACUCAACAUCUGUAAUAUUGCUGUCAAAGUUGCAUAACCUACAUCUAAUCAUGAGGAAACAACACAUAAGCCAAAAUUAAGGGCCAUUCUACAAUAGCACUGUACUAUGCUUCUAAAUUGUCCUGGUCAUGAAAGCAAAGGAAAGGCUUAGGAAUCAUCUCAGACAGAAGGAGACUGGAAAGACGUGGCAACUAAAUGCAAUGAAUAAUCCUAGACUGGAUCCUUUGGUUAUAAAGGACAGCAUUGGGCCAAUUGAUGAAAGUCCAGUAAGGUCUGGGGGUUAUAUUGAACUAAUGUAUCAAUGUUCAUUUCCUGAUUGUGAGCAUUGUGUUAGAUUAUGAAGGAGGAUGUCCUCAUUUGUAGGAAAUAUAUAUUAAAAUAUUAGGGAGUCACCGGGCUCGGUGGCUCACGCUUGUAAUCCCAGCACUUUGGGAGGCCGAAGUGGGUGGAUCACGAGGUCAGGAGAUCGAGACCAUCCUGGCUAACACGGUGAAACCCCGUCUCUACUAAAAACAUUAAAAAAAAUUAGCUGGGCGUGGUGGCGGGUGCCUGUAGUCCCGGCUACUCAGGAGGUUGAGGCAGGAGAAUGGCGUGAACCCGGGAGGUGGAGCUUGCAGUGAGCCGAGAUCGCACCACUGCACUCUAGCCUGGGAGACAGAGAGAGACUCCGUCUCAAAUAAAAUAAAAUAAAAUAAAAAUAAUAAAAUAAAAUAAAAUAAUAUAAAAUAAAAUAAAAUAUUAGGGAGUAAUGAGGCAUCAUGGAGGCAACUUACUCAUAAGUGGUUCAGGAAAGGGGGAAAUUCUUUGUAUAUCAUUGUAACUUUUCUAUACCGUUGAAAUUAUUUCAAAAGAAAAAGACAAGGAAGGAGUGAAUGAAAUCCCUGAGGCAGUGGAGAAUGAGAGGAGGUUGAGGCAGUGCAAUAUCAACCACUGACACCAAAGGGUUCCAUAUGUGUAAGGAGAGGGCAGCUAAUAAUGUGUAAUAUUGCAAAAAGACAGAAGAGAAUUUUUAAAAAGGUAUUAAACUAUUUACAAAUUUUCUACAUUAUUAAUCAUGGCAGCAUCUUCAUACAUGUGCAAUGCAAUGGAAAAUAAACCCAUUAUUCAUUCACAGACAAUACUGAAUGUGCAUAUGGAUUUGGCUUCCGCAUGGAAGCAAUUAACAACUUCUUGACUUCCCUGGGCCCUGGGAUUCAGAGAUUGGAAACCUGUUCUCACUACAAACCAUUACAGUUUUAAAAAGAAAAUCACAAUGACAUAAUUAUAUUAGCUCUUGUCAGGAGGCCAGGUCCCCCAAUUCCUA